AGGUGGGAGGAUUGCUUGAGCCUGGGAGGUGGAGGUUGCAGUGAGCCGAGAUCACACCACUGCACUCCAGCCUGGGCAACAGAG
rnacentral:miRNA from 1 species